CAGGAGUGGAUCAAGGGUCAGGUUCAAAGGGGUUUAUUGAAUACUGCAGAGGUUUAUUGGGUAUGGGUGUUUAUGGUUGUAAUAUUUUCAAGUGAAUGCUCAAAAUAUAUUAUUUAGGUUGCACUUUACAAUAAUUAACUAAGCCUUUUCACAGGGCAGCAUCGACAACAAGUUUCUGAGCUCCUGAAUGUUUCUGUGUGCGCAGCUCGACCUCCGAUCUCUGUGUGUGAGUGAUGUGUGUGUGUGCAUCAAUUAAAACAGCACAUUAAUAUAUAACUAGAGGUGGGACAAAAUAUCAAUAUCGUUUUCUGAUCCCCUUUCUGCUCUCAGGAAUGAGUGUAGGUAGCAUCGUCAAUGGCCAAAUUUUAUCAAUCUUUAUUAUUAUUAUUAUCAUCGAUGAUGAUGUUAUUGCUGAUGGGUUAAUUACAGGAGCUGGUGGUGGGAAUAGGAUGCCAGUAGGUAAUGGUUGAACACACACAAACACAGGAACACGAGGAGACGAAGGAGAUCGGGAGACUUGGAAUAAUCGUUCAGGUAAGUAGGUUAGUAUGAGCAAUGAGUCCUUUCAACAAUGGAGACCAGACAAUGUGUUUGUGUGUUCGGUGUGUUUUUGAACUGUGGUGCUGGUGAUCAGAACUCCGGUGAUUGGGGUCAUUGAUUAGUGCAAGAGCCUGGUGUUUCCGUGACACCCAUCUCCAUCAAAAGUUUUUUUUUAGUUAUCCUGGCUCAAGAGGUUAACCACUUCAGUGCAUUAGAGGAAUCAAUUUUAGGCUGCAUUUGUGUAUUAUAGUCUCUUUCACAUAUUAGAACCCUAGAGCCUUCCGAGGCAUUUAACUGAAAAAUUUCUCUAAUAUAGGAAUUGUCCUGCUCAGGGGCUAUAUACACAUUAACUAGUGUAACUUCUUUCUGAUGUAGAAAUCCCUUAACUAAAACAUAAGGACCCUCUGUAUCAGUGAAUUCAGAAACCACUCUCACACUUUUAGAAAUUAGUAUUGCUACCUUUCUUUU
ensembl:lncRNA